rnacentral:pre_miRNA from 1 species
GAUUUCAACUGAAAAAGUUAUCAACAACAAAGUUGAAUAACUCAUCAAGAUAUAAAACUUUUAUUUUGGUCAUUUCUUCAUCUGAUAAAGUGAUAGUAACAUUGUUCACAAAAUUGACAUAUCUCUUAUCUGGUUUUAUAAACUAUAACACAUAUAUGUAAAAUUUGUGAACAAUGUUACUAACAUUUUAUCAGAUGAAGAAAUAACCAAAAUAAAAGUUUUAGAUCUUGAUGAGUUAUUCAACUUUGUUGUUGAUAACUUUUUCAGUUGAAAUC